rnacentral:rRNA from 1 species
UCAGAACUUAUUAGUCCUUGUGGCAAAAAGGUUAAGAAAGGCUUUAGUAGAGACAAUAUAUCUGUCGCACUAGGUUAUAGCUGGUUUCUAGAGAAAUAUAUCAAAGUAUAAGAGGGUAAACCACCCUACUUCCUGCUCAGGGGAUAACCUCUGAACAGAACUCAUUCUGUUGAGAUGAACCUUAACCCUAAUCUAGGCUUAAAAUCAGCCUUGAUAGUAAAGCAAGUUACAUUGUAAGGCUUAAUAAAGGAAUAAUCAUAAGUAAACAACUCUAGAGUAUCUAGAAAUUCUGACUAACACUCAUCAGAAGAUACUAUGCUAAGACGAGUAUAAGAGAGCACCCAUAUCAUGAUGACUCUCUUAAAGAACUAUGGGUAAGGAACUCGGCAAAGAGAAGCUCCGACUGUUUAUCAAAAACAUAGCCCUCUGGAAUUAUAGAGGGUAUUGCCUGCCCAGUGGCAAGUCUUAACGGCUGCAGUAUUUUGACUGUACAAAGGUAGCAUAAUCACUUGUCCCCUCAUUAGGGACUAGAAUCAAUGGCUAAACGAGAGCUUAGCUGUCUCACCCAUACUCCUAAAAACUUACCUUCAAGUGAAAAGGCUUGAAUCCCCUAAGAGGACAAGAAGACCCUAUGGAGCUUUAGAAGUGAAGCUCUGAAGCACUACUAUUCAUAAAAAGAGUGUAGAGCUUAGAACUUUGGUUGGGGCAACCGAGGUACAUCAGAACUACCUCUAGAAGAGCUGCUGAUAAGCACCUACUAAAGAACAAAGAUCCUCUUAUGAAGAUCAGGAGAAUAAGCUACCCUAGGGAUAACAGGGUUAUUCUCCCCAAGAGCUCCCAUCGAAGGGAGAGUUUGCCACCUCGAUGUUGGACUAGGACAUCCAGUAGGUGUAGCAGCUUAC